rnacentral:rRNA from 1 species
UUGGGGAAGAACAAAAUGACGGUACCCAAGGAAUCAGCAUCGGCUAACUCCGUGCCAGCAGCCGCGGUAAUACGGAGGAUGCAAGCGUUAUCCGGAAUUAUUGGGCGUAAAGCGUCCGCAGGUGGCACUUCAAGUUUGCUGUCAAAGACCGGGGCUUAACCCUGGAGAGGCAGUGGAAACUGAAGCGCUAGAGUGUUGUAGGGGUAGAGGGAAUUCCUGGUGUAGCGGUGAAAUGCGUAGAGAUCAG